rnacentral:rRNA from 1 species
GACGAACGCUGGCGGCGUGCUUAACACAUGCAAGUCGAACGGAAAGGCCCUGCUUUUGUGGGGUGCUCGAGUGGCGAACGGGUGAGUAACACGUGAGUAACCUGCCCUUGACUUUGGGAUAACUUCAGGAAACUGGGGCUAAUACCGGAUAGGAGCUCCUGCUGCAUGGUGGGGGUUGGAAAGUUUCGGCGGUUGGGGAAGGACUCGCGGCUUAUCAGCUUGUUGGUGGGGUAGUGGCUUACCAAGGCUUUGACGGGUAGCCGGCCUGAGAGGGUGACCGGCCACAUUGGGACUGGGGUACGGCCCAGACUCCUACGGGAGGCAGGAGUGGGGAAUAUUGCACAAUGGGCGGAGGCAUGAUGCAGCAACGCCGCGUGCGGGAUGACGGCCUUCGGGUUGGAAACCGCUUUCGCCUGUGACGAAGCGUGAGUGACGGUAAUGGGUAAAGAAGCACCGGCUAACUACGU